rnacentral:rRNA from 1 species
GCCAUACCGUAAGGAGUGGUGGACCGUAUGGAAGUGAUGAUGCAGACAUAAGUAACGUUAAGGGCGGUGAAAUCCCGCCCCGCCGUAAACCCAAGGUUUCCUGGGCAACGAUCUUCGUCCCAGGGUUAGUCGGGAGCUAAGUCAAGGCCGAAUGGCGUCGGCGAUGCACAGCAGGUUAAUACUCCUGCACCGGCUAUGGUUAAACCACACGUGCGCGGAAAUUGAGAAAGCAUGCCGAUCGAAAGUGGCAGAAGGAGGCGGGGCAACCCAAAUCCGGUCUUUUGAUCCGACCGCCGAGAAAAGCGUUGUGGCCCUUUCCAUGGCCGCCCGUACCGCAAACCGACACAGGUGGGUGGGUAGAAUAUACCAAGGCGAAAGAGUGAAACCUCGUUAAGGAACUCUGCAAUCUAGUCCCGUAACUUCGGAAGAAGGGAUGCCCACUUUUAGUGGGUCGCAGUGAAAGGGGACAACCGACUGUUUAUCAAAAACACAGCAUUGUGCCAAGACGAAAGUCCAAGUAUACGAUGUGACACGUGACCAAUGCGGAAAGAUUAAGGCAAGGGGUUAGCCGCAAGGCGAAGCUCUGAACCUAAGUCCCCGUGAAUGUCGGCCGUAACUAUAACGGUCCUAAGGUAGCGAAAUUCCUUGUCGGGUAAGUUCCGACCUGCACGAAUCGUGUAACGAGUUGUCCGCUGUCUCAACGAGGGGCUCAGUGAAAUUGUAUUAGCAGUGAAGAUGCUGCUUACCCGCAGAAGGACGGAAAGACCCUAUGCACCUUAACUGUAAGCUGUCACUGGUCGUUUGGUUUCCAUGCUUAGCGUAAGUGGGACACUUUGAAGCGAUACUUUCGGGUAUCGUGGAGUGGACGAUGAAACACCACCCUUGGGUAUUGAACGAUCUAACCGAGGCCCUUGAAUCAGGGCUCGGGACCAUGUCAGCCGGUCAGUUUUACUGGGGCGGUAUCCUCCCAAAGAGUAACGGAGGAGUGCGAAGGUUGGCUCAGCGUGGUUGGCAAUCACGUGACGAGUAUAUUGGCAUAAGCCAGCCUAACUGUGAGACCUACAAGUCGAACAGAUGCGAAAGCAGGCCAAAGUGAUCCGGCGGUUUAAUGUGGAAUUGCCGUCGCUUAACGGACAAAAGGUACGCUAGGGAUAACAGGCUGAUUUCAUCCAAGAGUUCAUAUCGACGAUGAAGUUUGGCACCUCGAUGUCGGCUCAUCGCAUCCUGGGGCUGGAGAAGGUCCCAAGG